rnacentral:lncRNA from 1 species
AAAAACCCUAAAAAAAGCUCUCAACCUCGCCCCUCUCCUCCGGGCACCGACCUAAGCCCUGGUCAUCGGCCACCGUGUUGGCCGCCGAUCUCUGGCGCCGGCACAGCCGUAUGCGGUGGCCGAAAAAGGGGAAAACUCCCUAUUCGGCCCUUUCGGCCUCCCUUAACCCGAAUCCGGGCUCAAAUCCUCCGAAAAUUGAUGAAAAAUACCCCAAAAGCCCUCGGAACCUUUCGACUUCCGAUCGUCUAUCCUUGGAGAAAAACCUCGGCUGUUCCAACGGCGAUUCAGAAGCAAACCAAAGUAAGUUCUUUACUCUUUGUUUUAUUGUGUUUUAGUAAAGUAAAAAUAAUAAUAAAAAUAGAGAAAUAAUCGAUGCAAAAAAAAUAUCAACCUUUUUGAGUUUUGAUUGAUUCUCUGUUUGUGUUGAAAAAUAUCGUGCUUUUUUAUCGAUUUUGAAUCCGGCCUUAUUACAGUAUGUUAAAAUUGCUUUUAUAGCGAUCGUCAAUACAAGAAGAAAAGAAAUAAAUAAAAAGAGAUCUUCCAAUAUUUGCUUGAUUUGAUUUCGAUUCCUUGAUUUUCUUUCCUUUCUUGUGUUUGCAGGUGAUUGCAUGGAGAUUCGGCUCUUGGUGAUGGUUGCGGCGCGAAGAUCUUGCUAUUGCUAGGGUUUCAGAAACUGUUCUCGCCUAUUUGGGCUAAACUGUAAUUGGGCUUUAGGUUUGGGUAACUGUUUUUAGGCCUAUUCUGUUGUAAUUGGGUUUGUAUUAUUUGGGCCUUUUUACCCGGGCCAAAAUUGGGUAUUACAUAUCAUAU